CUUAAUUCGCCAUACCCACUUCCAAUUUUCCCUUUUUCUCUGAGAAUCUUUUGUGAAAGUUUCAAUUUUAUAAUGCUUUUCAUCUCACCCUUAUUGCAGAAUUAGGGUCUUUUAAGACUGUAUUAAGAGUCCCAUAUUCGGAAACCUGAAAUUUUCAAUUGGGGUGGUUUUUUAUGGGUCCAAAUCGAUAAGGAGUUUUGCCCAGAAAUGUGUUUUAGCAGAAGAGAGUGGUAGUUACUUCAAAUUUGUAACUUUUGGUUUGCGCUUUGUUUGUUUUGUUUUGCAUCUUUUGGUUGGCGAUUGUGAAGUGUCAAAUUUGUCAUUGUUUCCUGCAAUUUAGGUUUGGACCAAGAAUAAGUUGAAGCCUGUUAACCUUAUUGUUGUUAAUCAUGUUGGUAUGCCUUGUUGGUCAAUUACCCUGUUGCUAAAACUUUUGAGUUAAAUUUGUAGUUUAAAUCCAUGUGUUGAAUCCUUGGCUUUUAAGAGGUCUAGUUUGAAUCUCACCACUUAUUUAUUCCCUUUGUAUUGAAUCGAUGUGGGAGAGAAACAGGGAAUCCAUGGAGGCUAGUGUUAAGGCAAUUAUCACAACUAUUAAGCUACUUCAUUUAAUAUACAUUGUUGAUCCAUUAUCUAAUAGCAUAAGCUCUAGGAUUAAGUGGUUAUUAACAUUUACUAAGGUUGGAAUUCCUAUCUUAUCUUGGUAAGGUAGAUGACUUCUUCUCUCAAUUUAUGGGGCUAGGGGAAGCACCCAACAACUAAGAAAACACCUACAUUCCACAGUUUAUUGAAACAAUAGCAACACAUUACCUGUGCGGAGCACUUCAAGAGGUCACUGUAGCUACAAUUUUGAGCUGAUAACAUCAAACGUGCAGCCCUUAAAUGCAGCUUCUUUGUUGCCUGGUAGUUGCCAUUUCGCUAAUUUGAAGCUACCCAUUGAUCAUUUUGACUAGUAUUAUUGUUGAGAAAUAAAGGUUGUUGGAUAUUGGCUCAAAACAAUGAUCAAUUAGUCAACCGAUGAUGAAGUCAAUUGCAAUGUUGAUGUAUAUAACUUGACAUGUAAAAGAGAAAAUAAAAAAUAAAAAAAUUGUACAAUUACAGUUCAAUGGCAAGAAAUGAUAUGGUCCUUCAAUGGAUGUGGGGGACUUUUCAGAUCA